UACGAAGGGGGCUAGCGUUGCUCGGAAUCACUGGGCGUAAAGGGUGCGUAGGCGGGUCUUUAAGUUAGAGGGGAAAGCCCGGGGCUCAACUCCGGAAUUGCCUUUAAGACUGCAUCGCUAGAAUUGUGGAGAGGUAAGUGGAAUUCCGAGUGUAGAGGUGAAAUUCGUAGAUAUUCGGAAGAACACCAGUGGCGAAGGCGGCUCACUGGACCGGUACUGACGCUGAGGCGCGAAAGCGUGGGGAGCGAUCCGG
rnacentral:rRNA from 1 species